rfam:Clostridium sp. ASF502 genomic scaffold acMal-supercont1.10, whole genome shotgun sequence.
GGGAGCCGGAUGCGGGAAAGCUGCACGUCCGGUUCUGAGAGGGGUAAGCCCCGUAAGGGACUUACCUACUUACC